UACGUAGGGGGCUAGCGUUGUCCGGAAUCAUUGGGCGUAAAGCGCGUGUAGGCGGCCCGGUAAGUCCGCUGUGAAAGUCGGGGGCUCAACCCUCGGAUGCCGGUGGACACUGUCGGGCUCGAGUACGGAAGAGGCGAGUGGAAUUCCUGGUGUAGCGGUGAAAUGCGCAGAUAUCAGGAGGAACACCGGCGGUGUAGACGGCUUGCUGGACCGUAGCUGACGCUGAGACACAAAGCGUGGGUAGCAAACAGG
rnacentral:rRNA from 1 species